ACGUUCAGAACCUCGCCCUGUUCCAACCAGUCGUCCCUGCCCGUCAACCUAACCGCCUUCCUCACUGAGCUCCUUUACCAGCAAGACAGCAACUUCAACCCCCUGCUACUCCCGCUCCAGUUUCGGUGCUCUGCUCCAGCUAGUUCAUUUGGCCAACUGAAUGCGCUCCAGAGUAGCAUAGUUCUGUACAAUCUAACAACUCACUGCACAGAUCUGGACCCCCAGAUCUCUGCUGCCUUAGCCGCUAACUUUGGCGACGAGCUCACGACAGACGCCAUCGCUGCACUGAGCGAAGAGAGCGCCACUAGCAUUUCCGCCGGUCAGAUCAACGCCGCUAGUCCGCAAGUUCUGCUGGCCUCCCUGGGAAUCCUCAGCAGCGCGACUGGCUGGAACCAAGGCCAGGCCCUGGCAAUCGUCCAAGCCCUGACGUCCUCAGGAGAGCUACAGAUCACCAACCAAGCAACGUUAACUAUGUUGGGAUCUCUCGUGGUCGGCGUUCCCUCCUCGGUCUUCGGCAGCAUCUCGGGCACAGAGCUGAUCAGCGCUUCCAGGAUCCCACGUUCUUAACGCAUUUCAUCAGCGCACCAACGAUCGUCCAGCAGACCUUCGUCAAUCAGAUUAUAUCUGUCAACAGUAGCAGCACGGCAAUCAUAGACAACGUACCAGAUGCCCUGGCGACCGAGAUACCACGCUUCUUUCUGGUUU
rnacentral:lncRNA from 1 species